rnacentral:rRNA from 1 species
UGGUACUGAGACACGGACCAGACUCCUACGGGAGGCAGCAGUGAGGAAUAUUGGACAAUGGGCGAGAGCCUGAUCCAGCCAUGCCGCGUGCAGGAAGACGGCCCUAUGGGUUGUAAACUGCUUUUACAGAGGAAGAACCCUCCUUACGUGUAAGGAGCUGACGGUACUCUAUGAAUAAGGAUCGGCUAACUCCGUGCCAGCAGCCGCGGUAAUACGGAGGAUCCAAGCGUUAUCCGGAAUCAUUGGGUUUAAAGGGUCCGUAGGCGGGUCUAUAAGUCAGUGGUGAAAGUCUGCAGCUUAACUGUAGAACUGCCAUUGAUACUGUAGACCUUGAAUUAGUAUGAAGUGGUUAGAAUGUGUAGUGUAGCGGUGAAAUGCAUAGAUAUUACACAGAAUACCGAUUGCGAAGGCAGAUCACUAAUACUAUAUUGACGCUGAUGGACGAAAGCGUAGGUAGCGAACAGGAUUAGAUACCCUGGUAGUCUACGCCGUAAACGAUGGUUACUAGCUGUCCGGCCUAAUUGAGGGCUGGUGGUUAAGCGAAAGUGAUAAGUAACCCACCUGGGGAGUACGUUCGCAAGAAUGAAACUCAAAGGAAUUGACGGGGGCCCGCACAAG